UUUGGCAGCUGGCCCAGCAGAGGGAGAAAAUGUUCUCUCGGCUCCACCCCAAACAAGGCACAAGCAUUGGUCACUUUCGUCAAGCGCCCUCUCCUUCCAAGUUAGUCCCGGGACGUGCUGCCUCGGGAAUAACAGGUUGUUGCUGAAAUUGUUAUGCUGGGGUUGGCUGAUUUCUUGUUCAUGUACUUCUGUCCCAGCGUGCAGUGGAAUAGUGACAUCUGUAUCACAGCUGCUCAGCCCUGGAGAAUAGAAUCUUCCUAUUAUGAAAAGCUGGUGUAAAUAACUGCUGCUGCCUCCCAGACCAAGAUAACCUGCUCAGUCAGCUGGAGCCCCCUGUGGACAGCUGUCUCUCUCCGCUGAUGGAAAACUGCUACUAACCUCUGAAUGGAAGAGAGUGGAGCAACAACCACACUAGUAACUGCAGCAGUAGCAGUAAUAGCAGCAGCAACCGAGGUCUCUAUUGUUCCUUGGUGUUAAACAGUUUUUCCUUUUCAGCUGACAUGCACAAUAGCUGGGAAGAGGUUUCCAUUCUGCCCUCUCUAUGAAGAAAUUCUGAAGGGGAGAAAAUUACUCAGACAAGGGUUACCCUUUGUGCUGCAGAUUUUGACACUGAAGCAGCCUUCUGAAGGCAUGGGGGUGAGAGUGGGAGGCACAGCUUUAUCCGGUGGCCCAGGGGCUUCUGCUGUUUCAAUCCGGUGUACUGGAGUUCUUGUGGUUCUUCUGUUUGGAAUCUGGGAAGCUAAAGCACAAAGUGAAUUUGAAACUUCUUCUGUAUAUUUGUGGAAG